GACGAACGCUGGCGGCGUGCUUAACACAUGCAAGUCGAACGGAAAGGCCCUGCUUUUGUGGGGUGCUCGAGUGGCGAACGGGUGAGUAACACGUGAGUAACCUGCCCUUGACUUUGGGAUAACUUCAGGAAACUGGGGCUAAUACCGGAUAGGAGCUCCUGCUGCAUGGUGGGGGUUGGAAAGUGUCGGCGGUGGGGGAUGGACUCGCGGCUUAUCAGCUUGUUGGUGGGGUAGUGGCUUACCAAGGCUUUGACGGGUAGCCGGCCUGGGAGGGUGACCGGCCACAUUGGGACUGCGGUACGGACCAGACUCCAACGGGGGGCAGAGGGGGGAAGUAUUGUACAGUGGGCGGAAGCGUGUGGCGGCAACGCCGGGUUCGGAAUGCCGGCCUUCGGGUUGAAAACCGCUUUCGCCUGUGACGAAGCUGGAGUGACGGUAAUGGGUAAAGAAGCACCGGCUAACUACGUG
rnacentral:rRNA from 1 species